rnacentral:rRNA from 1 species
ACAAUGCGGGACUUGUAGUCUUGCAAUUGGAUUGAGACAACGUAAAACUCUUAUCGAUAAGCCAUUGGAGGGCAAGUCUGGUGCCAGCAGCCGCGGUAAUUCCAGCUCCAAUAGCGUAUAUUAACGUUGUUGCAGUUAAAAAGCUCGUAGUUGAAGUGAGGGAGUGUGUGUUGUGAUCGAAUCGAUCGAGAGCAGUACAAGCUCCCCCUUCCAAUGGGUGUAUUGGGGUAUUCAUUUACUUCAUUACUCCUUUGGUCGUUUACUGUGAGAAAAUUAGAGUGUUCAAAGCGGGCGUUUGUUUGAAUAGAUUAGCAUGGAAUAAUGAUUGAA